AGUCAGCACGAGGGGAGCCAUUUUGGCUGAGAGUGAUUAUUAUCAGACCCUGAAAACCUGUUAUGUUAAUGCAUGCGUAGGGAUAGUGUUUAAACUUACAA
rnacentral:ncRNA from 2 species